UCAAUAGGAAACAUAGUAGCCAGUAAGAAACCACGGACGCACUCAAACGCUGUGGUUGGCCGAAGAAGUCCAGCAGAGACCAAGGACAUGCCUUGAUUCGAUAUCUGUUACGAACUUGCUCCCGUAAUAACCUUCUUCAGCUAACUUGCAAGGAGACCUAUAUUUAUUUUGAAACUCAGCGGCAAGAAUACACUCGAAAGAGCUCAAGAAAAAGGUAUCCUGAAGAAAAGAAUAAUAAUACUUAUAAUAAUAAAAAAAUAUUAUGA